rnacentral:rRNA from 1 species
CCUACGGGUGGCUGCAGUGAGGAAUAUUGGUCAAUGGACGCAAGUCUGAACCAGCCAUGCCGCGUGCAGGAUGACGGCUCUAUGAGUUGUAAACUGCUUUUGUCGGGGAGCAAAAGCCGGACGUGUCCGGCUGUGAGAGUACCCGAAGAAAAAGCAUCGGCUAACUCCGUGCCAGCAGCCGCGGUAAUACGGAGGAUGCGAGCGUUAGCCGGAUUUAUUGGGUUUAAAUGGUGCGCAGGCGGAUUUUUAAGUCAGCGGUCAAAUCGUGGGGCUCAACCCCAUCCAGCCGUUGAAACUGGGGAUCUAGAGUGUGCGAGAGGUAUGCGGAAUGCGUGGUGUAGCGGUGAAAUGCAUAGAUAUCACGCAGAACCCCGAUUGCGAAGGCAGCAUACCGGUGCACAACUGACGCUCAGGCACGAAAGCGUGGGUAUCGAACAGGAUUAGAUACCCUAGUAGUC